GAUAAUAAAUUAGGUCAGUGUCAAUGCAGCUUCUGGUAUGUGCAGACACAGCUGAAGGUUGGUACUUUCAUGAAUAAGAAAGAGGUUUGAAGGUAAGACAGUAAUAGACAGAAGAAUGAGAGC